rnacentral:rRNA from 2 species
UGAACGCUGGCGGCGUGCCUAAUACAUGCAAGUCGAGCGAACAGACGAGGAGCUUGCUCCUCUGACGUUAGCGGCGGACGGGUGAGUAACACGUGGAUAACCUACCUAUAAGACUGGGAUAACUUCGGGAAACCGGAGCUAAUACCGGAUAACAUGUUGAACCGCAUGGUUCAACAGUGAAAGACGGUCUUGCUGUCACUUAUAGAUGGAUCCGCGCCGCAUUAGCUAGUUGGUAAGGUAACGGCUUACCAAGGCAACGAUGCGUAGCCGACCUGAGAGGGUGAUCGGCCACACUGGAACUGAGACACGGUCCAGACUCCUACGGGAGGCAGCAGUAGGGAAUCUUCCGCAAUGGGCGAAAGCCUGACGGAGCAACGCCGCGUGAGUGAAGAAGGUCUUCGGAUCGUAAAACUCUGUUAUUAGGGAAGAACAAAUGUGUAAGUAACUAUGCACGUCUUGACGGUACCUAAUCAGAAAGCCACGGCUAACUACGUGCCAGCAGCCGCGGUAAUACGUAGGUGGCAAGCGUUAUCCGGAAUUAUUGGGCGUAAAGCGCGCGUAGGCGGUUUUUUAAGUCUGAUGUGAAAGCCCACGGCUCAACCGUGGAGGGUCAUUGGAAACUGGAAAACUUGAGUGCAGAAGAGGAAAGUGGAAUUCCAUGUGUAGCGGUGAAAUGCGCAGAGAUAUGGAGGAACACCAGUGGCGAAGGCGACUUUCUGGUCUGUAACUGACGCUGAUGUGCGAAAGCGUGGGGAUCAAACAGGAUUAGAUACCCUGGUAGUCCACGCCGUAAACGAUGAGUGCUAAGUGUUAGGGGGUUUCCGCCCCUUAGUGCUGCAGCUAACG